AGCUGGAAAACUUGGAGUCUGAUGUUUGAGGGCAGGAAGCAUCCAGCACAGGAGGAGGAUGAAGGCUAGAAGACUCAGCAAGUCUGCUUCUUCCAAGUUCUUCUGCCUGCUUUAUUCUAAACAUGCUGGCAGCUGAUUAGAUGGUGCCCACUCAGAUUAAAGGUAUUGGGAGAAGGAGAGGCUGUCAACCCAUGCCACUAUGCUAUCUCUAACUCUGCCAUCCAGACCGAGCAAACGUACUUAAGACCUUUGUGUAAGAUCAGAAAAUCAUAAGACAGCAUUAAAAAGUACUAUACAGGAGGAGAUGGAACAAGAUGGCCAAAUAGAAGCCUCCAGCAAUCAUCUCCCCCAAAGGAAUUGAACAACUAUCAAAACAAAAUUGAACAACUAUCUAAACAAAAAAAGUACCUUCAUAAAAAACAAAAAUCAGGUCUUUCUGGCAACUGUCUAAACAUAAACCAGAGAAGGGCAAGGCAGACUCAGGAAGGACAAACAGAAGGCUAUUUUCAUAAAUCAGG